AUAUUAAGAGGACACACGCGCGGUCGUCGGAGCGAGCCGUGCCGCCGGCAGUUUGCGCCGCACGGCCUUCGGCGGCUCAAUUCCCUUCAGGAUCUAGCUAGUGUUUCCGCCAACUCGUGUCCAGUCCUCUACCGAGCAGCAGGCAGCACUCGUCGGAGCGGCUCGUUCUCGCCGGCGGCGAGGAUCGUCGUGCAAGAUGCGCAAGACGGUGGUGGUGCCGGUGGGACGACUCAUCCACAGCAAGAUGUACAUCGCCCCUCCGAGUUCAUGGCGCACGAUGAGGCAGGCCGACGACGACAACUCUGGAAAAGUGGAUCCAGCUCGUUAGAAUUCUCCCUCGAUCCCCUCCCCCAAAUGAGUUCUCACGCUGCCUUCGACUGAAUCCAACUCAUUAGAAUUUAGCUCAGAUUUAGUGGUUGGUUAUAUUAAAUGGUUUAGAAAUUUGUUAUCAUGAUCUUUGUUGGAUCUGUCCGUAGAAAAAAAAAUAUGGGAGGAGAUUUAGGGUUAGUGUCUACUCUAUUCGUAAUUUGUUAUAAAAUCCUGCCAUACAUGAAUAUAUAUGAGAGCUGAUUUAAUCAUUCUUAGCGUAAUUACGAUUGUAACAUCUCGGGGUACAUGCAAUGUUCUGUAGGCUGGUCAUCCAUCUGGUCGUAAAAACUGCAGAAAAUUAGGCGUUCAUGUUCUACUCUGUAGUAACUAGUAGUAUGUACUCAUAGUCUUCUUUGUUAGAGUUUGGAGAAGGAACCAUAUGCUUACCGUGGGUCACACACACACACACUCUCACACUCCAUCCUUUAAAACCUCUGACUGCAUGAUUGCUUCUCAAUAAGUUUGAGAAUGGUGCCUAUUUUGCCAAGUAUAAUAGUUGUUAGACUUUCUUGAUUUACUCACUUCAUAUUCACGGAUUCGACAACUCAUUGUCGAGAACUCGAAAUGUAACUAUACCACCACUAGAGUACUAGGCAGUUGGCGGCCUUCUUUUUUAUGUUUUCUGUAACCGUGGAGGUAAACUUAUCUUGUGUCGUCAUUCAAUUCAUUCUUAUCGGAUAGUUAGGAAAAUCAUUUUCCACUUUCUCACCUAGCUCGGAAAUCUUGAGGUCCAUUACUCCAAGGCACGUGGAAGAUUUAUUAAGAGCACAUUGUUUACUUGUUACGCCAAUAUGUUGCCAUCAAAUGCAUUAUCUUUGUCAUGUCGCAUGAUGGCGGUACUGUUUUAUCUUUCUAUACUUCAACCGAUGAUAUUAUUAGCUGAGACUAAGGCUAGAUAUGAUGUUCAUUUCUGUUUGUCUUCAACUCUGAAUAAGAUGAUGCAGGUAUAUUUUUGUUAGGCUUGUAAGCUGUUUUUUCAGUAAGCUAAAUGGUUGAAACACAAUAUAGGCUUUACAAUUUGUUGACUAGAAACAAUUUUGCCACUUGAGCACUUGUACAACUGACGGUCUAUGUUGCAGUAAGUACAAUGUUUCUUCUCCCUCAUAAUAUUUAGGAUUUUUUUUGCACACAAACUUUUAUAAAUGUGGAGAAAAUCUGAUAAUGUUAGCUUCUGAUCUGUUCAAUUACUCUCUCCAUCCGGAAAUAAGUGACUCAAUUUUUCUAGAUACGGACGUUCCUAGUUGCAUUUCAGUUUGUAGAUAUAUCUAUAUCUAGAUAAAGUUAAGUCACUUAUUUCCAAUGGAGGUUGUGUUUCUGUUUUGUACUAGUGCGAAUAAAAAUGUAAAUUGGAGACAGAGACACAUAUAUCAACCUGAAUUGUAUGGAAUAAGAAAAGCAUUCACAUAGCAGCCUCUGUUUUGCAAUCCUGUUUCAACCGGGCAGUCUGCCUUGGUCAGAUCUGACUUGCUCACAGAAAGACCCCCGUCGGUGGUGACGCUAGUCACCCGCUCGCCGCCUGCAUUGGGCCAUCUGAUGUGCCCACGCCUCCACAUAUGCAGCACACAGUUUGAAGCCCAGGAUCGUUGUAAGGAGACACAAACUUGCUAAUGGAUCAAGCAAGCAUUACGCUCGUGAAGAUGGACAUGACUGCAUCCAAGCAGGACUGACUAGAUAAUAACUGUUUUAUAAGCUGAAAUUGCAUACGUGCAGUUAUGUGUACUUUAUGGUUGAGAACUUAUAUUGAAAACCUCAUUUGUUGUUUCCUCAAAUAGAUUAAUGAGUUCGCCUAGUUCUGCCGUGUGAGCUUUUUUUGUUUCCUUUUUUGUUUUUCUUUCAUCGGUUAUUUGGUUUGUUUUUACUACCAGCUUUGAGCUUCACUGAAGUCUAGCAAAGACAUACAAACAGCAGAGGUUGGUAAACAUGGUGCACUUUCCUGAUAAAAGGUUGUUUUGCUAUCCCCUUUCCUGUUUGCAUGAAUGUAUGGAGGUUUGAAUAGCUACAACUAGAACAGUGGGUAUGUUGUCAUCUACAAUUAGAAAAGAAAUUUAAAUUAUUGAUCUUGCUAAGUUGUCCACAUAAUCUAUUAUGCCUUUUCCAUAUCAUUUAGAAUCUUGUUAAAAGUCAGGAAACGAGGACAUACAAAACAGUUAUUUUCUGCAUUAUCUCAUUCUCUCGGCCAUCUUAUAAUUUGUUAUGGCUUUUGCUGAUACUUUAUGUGACCAAUUAGACAGAUGUCGAAUAUAAGAUCUUCAUUAUUUAGAACUUAGGACAUUGAUCUGAGAUGUAGUUUCUAUUUUAGUUUCUUAUUUGCCCUCGGUUCUAAGGCUGGAGCUCCUCGUAUUCAUGGGUAUGGAGUCCCUUCGCUGGCCACCUCCUCAACCGGUGAUAGUGCUCAUCUUUGAAACCGAGAAAAAAGAAAAGUAAAAGUGACCCUGUGACCCAUUUGUAAUCGAUAUAAUCCGUGUAGUGUGAUGCUGCCAUCUCUGUUCCCCAUCCACCGCUCACGUCCUCUUUGGUCUAUUGAUUUCAUUUGUUCUGUGGUGAUUGGUGACUGAUAUGGGGUGUAUCCACAUGCAGGUGGAGGUUCCCAUGGAGAUGGCGGAGGAAGAGAAGUCAGCAGGACUAACUUUAAGCAUCACAACAGAUCCAAUUCUAUUCCUUAUAGGAUCCUGGCAUAUAAUUGACAGUAUCUCGAGUUUUCGCUUUAAAUUACGUAGCCUGCAACUUGUACGAUUCUCAGUGGUCUGUAGGAGGUCAAGCUUUCUCGGAGUGAUUUAUUCCAAACUGUCAUAAAAAAAAGUGUAUACCAAAACAAAAAAAGUGCAUCUGCACAGUGACGGUGUGCACCUGUGGGGUUGUGACACAUGUCAAGUUUAUGGCCUCGGUAAUCUCCCUCUAAGCUUAUGGAGGAAGAGAAGACAGCAGGACUAACUUUAAGCAUCACAACAGAUCCAAUUCCAUUCUUUAUAGGAUCCUGCCAAAGAAUUGACAGUAUCUCAAGUUUUCGCUUUAAAGUAUGAUAUUUACCUUGGGUAGUCUUUGAAACAUGGUGAUCUAGAUUCUAGAAUUUAAUGUACAGUUAUUUAGUUGUGGUCUUGCUUAUAUCAUUUUC